ensembl:lncRNA
GAGUCUGGAGCCUUCCAUGCUCCUCCACGCCUUCACUGCUGUUUCUGCCUCCUGGCAUGGGGCAGGGUGAGGCUGGGCCAGCAGCGGGACAGUAAACGUACUCUCCGUCGCAGGCGGGCAUCUCCACUGCCCCUGGUGCCCGGGCUGAGGAGCCGAGUUCCCCUUUCCGGUGUGCCCGCGGUGGGGGGGAGGCCCCGCUGCACUUCUCCGGAGACCCCUGCUGGGAACCGGUCUCGAGCAAACGUUCACGGACACUUCAGGUGGACUUGCCGUGCAGGGGUGACUCAGGCCAGCUCGUGGGCCGCAAGUGUAGAGCGAACACAGCGUGAUCCCCAGAGGCUCGUCUGCCACAUCCUCCGGUGUUGUGCACGGAGUCCCCCCCACCAGCGACGGGACGGCGCCCCCAGGCUGCGGCUCGCUGACUGUGGCCAGGUGUGUGCCAGGCGGCCCGGAAAGGUCUCUUCCUGCCAUCUUGGGGCAGCUGGGUCUCCGCACAGGGAUGUGUCCGGGUGCCGUGACACCAGCCGCCGGAGCAGGCUGUCCCCGAGCCCUCUCCCGGGGAGGGAUUCGUGCCCACCCCAUAGUCCGUAGCCAUU